GAAGAGGAUGUGGGUCAUCAGGAAGUUUUGAGAAACGAGGCCGGUGGGGAGGGAGUGCCUUUCGAGUUUCUAGUGCAUCCCGAGUGCUUGCUGCAGAUGGACACUAGUGCUUGCGUGUGUAGCCCGGCCUGGCCUUAGGGCGCUGGAGAGUCAGACAAGAUUGGGAGCAGAGUAACUACUGUUUGUAUGUUUUCCUUGAUCGCUGUGGUACACAGAACCUUAUCUUCAGAUACUUGCAAAAUGUACAGAUCUCGAAUUCAGGUGUGGCUGUAUGAACAAGUGAAUAUGCGGAUAGAGGGUUGUAUUAUUGGCUUUGAUGAGUACAUGAACCUCGUAUUAGAUGAUGCAGAAGAAAUUCAUUCUA
rnacentral:lncRNA from 1 species